rnacentral:rRNA from 1 species
CCUACGGGGGGCAGCAGUGAGGAAUAUUGGUCAAUGGGCGAGAGCCUGAACCAGCCAAGUCGCAUGAAGGAUGACGGCCCUACGGGUUGUAAACCUCUUUUGUCGGGGAGCAAAGCGAGUCACGUGUGACUCAUUGAGAGUACCCGAAGAAAAAGCAUCGGCUAACUCCGUGCCAGCAGCCGCGGUAAUACGGAGGAUGCGAGCGUUAUCCGGAUUGAUUGGGUUUAAAGGGUGCGCAGGCGGAGGUGCAAGUCAGCGGUCAAAUUGCGGGGCUCAACCCCGUACUGCCGUUGAAACUGAAUACCUUGAGUGCGCGAGAGGUAUGCGGAACGCGUGGUGUAGCGGUGAAAUGCAUAGAUA